AUUGAACGCUGGCGGCAGGCCUAACACAUGCAAGUCGAACGGUAACAGAAAGCAGCUUGCUGCUUUGCUGACGAGUGGCGGACGGGUGAGAAAUGUCUGGGAAACUGCCUGAUGGAGGGGGAUAACUACUGGAAACGGUAGCUAAUACCGCAUAACGUCGCAAGCCCAAAGAGGGGGACCUUCGGGCCUCUUGCCAUCGGAUGUGCCCAGAUGGGAUUAGCUAGUAGGUGGGGGAACGGCUCACCUGGGCGACGAUCCGCAGCGGGUCUGAGAGGAUGACCAGCCACACUGGAACGGGGCCACGGUCCAGACUCCUACGGGAGGCAGCAGUGGGGAAUAUUGCGCAAUGGGCGCAAGCCUGAUGCAGCCAUGCCGCGUGUAUGAAGAAGGCCUUCGGGUUGUAAAGUACUUUCAGCGGGGAGGAAGGGAGUAAAGUUAAUACCUUUGCUCAUUGACGUUACCCGCAGAAGAAGCACCGGCUAACUCCGUG
rnacentral:rRNA from 1 species